UUCGUUCGGCACUGCCACUAGUAUUAUUAUUUUUACUUAAAAUUGUAUUUUUGUAAUUAACUUUCUUCUAUCUUUCUCUUGAUAAGAAAAAGGCUAUCGUGGUGUUCCGGGGGAGGAGCAGUCAGCAGGGGAAUACAUAGAAGAAGAAGCUAGCUCUCUGGAUCACAAUACCCAUAUAUCAGUCCCCGUUCAACAUAUUCCAAAUUCAUCAAUUUUUUAUCUUUUAAUCAUUUUGCUCUCUUCUUCUCCAAGGCUGUCUUCUGCUU
rnacentral:lncRNA from 1 species